rnacentral:rRNA from 1 species
UACACGAGCGGCGAACGGGUGAGUAACACGUGAGCAAUCUGCCCUUCACUUUGGGAUAACUUCCGGAAACGGAAGCUAAUACCGAAUACGACCACUUCAGGCAUCUGAUGGUGGUGGAAAGUUCCGGCGGUGAAGGAUGAGCUCGCGGCCUAUCAGCUUGUUGGUGAGGUAACGGCUCACCAAGGCUUCGACGGGUAGCCGGCCUGAGAGGGUGACCGGCCACACUGGGACUGAGACACGGCCCAGACUCCUACGGGAGGCAGCAGUGGGGAAUAUUGGACAAUGGGCGAAAGCCUGAUCCAGCAACGCCGCGUGAGGGAUGACUGCCUUCGGGUUGUAAACCUCUUUCAGCAGGGACGAAGCGAAAGUGACGGUACCUGCAAAAGAAGCACCGGCCAACUACGUGCCAGCAGCCGCGGUAAUACGUAGGGUGCGAGCGUUGUCCGGAAUUAUUGGGCGUAAAGGGCUCGUAGGCGGUUUGUCACGUCGGGAGUGAAAACUCAGGGCUUAACCCUGAGCCUGCUUCCGAUACGGGCAGACUAGAGGUAUGCAGGGGAGAACGGAAUUCCUGGUGUAGCGGUGAAAUGCGCAGAUAUCAGGAGGAACACCGGUGGCGAAGGCGGUUCUCUGGGCAUUACCUGACGCUGAGGAGCGAAAGUGUGGGGAGCGAACAGGAUUAAUACCCUGGUAGUCCACACCGUAAACGUUGGGCGCUAGGUGUGGGACUCAUUCCACGAGUUCCGUGCCGCAGCUAACGCAUUAAGCG